rnacentral:rRNA from 1 species
AGUGAACGCUGGCGGUAGGCCUAACACAUGCAAGUCGAACGGCAGCACAGGAGAGCUUGCUCUCUGGGUGGCGAGUGGCGGACGGGUGAGGAAUACAUCGGAAUCUACUCUGUCGUGGGGGAUAACGUAGGGAAACUUACGCUAAUACCGCAUACGACCUACGGGUGAAAGCAGGGGAUCUUCGGACCUUGCGCGAUUGAAUGAGCCGAUGUCGGAUUAGCUAGUUGGCGGGGUAAAGGCCCACCAAGGCGACGAUCCGCAGCUGGUCUGAGAGGAUGAUCAGCCACACUGGAACUGGGACACGGUCCAGACUCCUACGGGAGGCAGCAGUGGGGAAUAUUGGACAAUGGCGCAAGCCUGAUCCAGCCAUACCGCGUGGGUGAAGAAGGCCUUCGGGUUGUAAAGCCCUUUUGUUGGGAAAGAAAUCCAGCUGGCUAAUACCCGGUUGGGAUGACGGUACCCAAAGAAUAAGCACCGGCUAACUUCGUGCCAGCCGCCGCCGUAA